UACGUAGGGGGCAAGCGUUGUCCGGAAUCACUGGGCGUAAAGCGCAUGUAGGCGGGAUAUUAAGUCAGGUGUGAAAACUAUGGGCUCAACCUGUAGAUUGCAUCUGAAACUGGUAUUCUUGAGUAUUGGAGAGGAAAGUGGAAUUCCUAGUGUAGCGGUGAAAUGCGUAGAUAUUAGGAGGAACACCAGUGGCGAAGGCGACUUUCUGGCCAAAAACUGACGCUGAGAUGCGAAAGCGUGGGGAGCAAACAGGAUUAGAUACCCUGGUAGUCCACGCCGUAAACGAUGGGUACUAGGUGUUGGGUGUCAAAGCUCAGUGCCGCAGUUAACACAAUAAGUACCCCGCCUGGGGAGUACGGUCGCAAGACUGAA
rnacentral:rRNA from 1 species